rnacentral:rRNA from 1 species
AUGGCAUCCCCGGGCCCGCGCUCACGGCUCCAACGCGGACUCCGCCUCCGCCUCCAGCACCGGUCGACGAGCCCGGCUUCUUCGUCUUCGUGCCGUUCCCAAACGGCGCCGGAGGGACGACCCAAGCCGCUGGCUCGACGCCGGUCGCGCAGCCUGGAGACGCGGAUGCCGGCCCGUGUCGCAGCGCCGACGAGGCACCACCGUCCCCGCGCACGGUCGCCCGACCGCACCGCCAGGACUCCGCGAGCAUGGAGGGACGCCGCCGCCUCUUCGGUCGCGCCAUCGCCGCCAUCGACCGCCGCCCUAGUCGUCGCUCCGGUCUCGCCCCCAAUCUACCCAACGGCGCCGCUGCAGGCGCCAUCGACGUCUCCUCAUCCGAGGAAGAUGGAGGCGCGCCAGCGAGCCGCCCGUAUGCGGCGGCGGCACCCAGGCGUGGAUUUGGUCAGAAGGAUUGGGGGAUCGCUCCCCUAA